UACGUAGGGUGCAUGCGUUGUCCGGAAUUAUUGGGCGUAAAGAGCUCGUAGGCGGCCUGUCGCGUCUGCUGUGAAAUCCCGGGGCUUAACCCCGGGCGUGCAGUGGAUACGGGCUGGCUGGAGGCAGGCAGGGGAGAACGGAAUUCCCGGUGUAGCGGUGAAAUGCGCAGAUAUCGGGAGGAACGCCGGUGGCGAAGGCGGUUCUCUGGGCCUGUACUGACGCUGAGGAGCGAAAGCGUGGGGAGCGAACAGG
rnacentral:rRNA from 1 species